GCUGGGUGCGGUAGUGCGCAUCUGUAAUCCCAGCAACUCAGGAGGCUGAGGGAGGAGGAUCAUGAGUUCAAAGCCAGCAACGUACUGAGGCUGUAAGGAACUUAGUGUGACCCUGUCUCAA
rnacentral:sRNA from 1 species